rnacentral:rRNA from 1 species
UACGGAGGGGGCGAGCGUUAUUCGGAAUUAUUGGGCGUAAAGGGCGCGUAGGCGGCCUUGUAAGUCAAAGGUGAAAUCCCUCGGCUCAACUGAGGAACUGCCUUUGAAACUGCAAGGCUUGAGGCCGGGAGGGGGUAGCGGAAUUCCCAAUGUAGCGGUGAAAUGCGCAGAUAUCAGGAGGAACACCGGUGGCGAAGGCGGAUCUCUGGGCCUGAUCUGACGCUGGAGGCGCGAAAGCUAGGGGAGCGAACAGG